UUGUAAUUUGCAGAGGAUGCUUUUGGCGAGGUGCCUUCCGAGUUCCCUGGAACGGGACGCCAUAGAGGGUGAGAGCCCCGUACGGUCGUGCCACCGAGCCUCUGUAAAGCUCCUUCGACGAGUCGAGUAGUUUGGGAAUGCUGCUCUAAAUGGGAGGUGUAUGUCUUCUAAAGCUAAAUACCGGCCAGAGACCGAUAGCGCACAAGUAGAGUGAUCGAAAGAUGAAAAGCACUUUGAAAAGAGGGUUAAACAGUACGUGAAAUUGUUGAAAGGGAAGCAUUCAUGACCAGACUUGGGCGUGGCGGAUCAACCGGCGUUCUCGCCGGUGCACUCCGCCUGUCCAGGCCAGCAUCAGUUCGCCCCGGGGGGGAAAGGCUUCGGGAACGUAUCUCCUCCGGGAGUGUUAUAGCCCGUUGCGUAAUGCCCUGGGGUGGACUGAGGUCCGCGCUUCCGCAUGGAUGCUGGCGUAAUGGUCAUCAAUGACCCGUCUUGAAACACGGACCAAGGAGUCGUCUUCGUAUGCGAGUGUUCGGGUGUCAAACCCCUACGCGGAAUGAAAGUGAACGUAGGUGGGAGCUUCGGCGCACCACCGACCGAUCCUGAUGUUCUCGGAUGGAUUUGAGUAAGAGCAUACGGGGCCGGACCCGAAAGAAGGUGAACUAUGCCUGUGUAGGGUGAAGCCAGAGGAAACUCUGGUGGAGGCUCGCAGCGGUUCUGACGUGCAAAUCGAUCGUCAAACAUGGGCAUGGGGGCGAAAGACUAAUCGAACCUUCUAGUAGCUGGUU
rnacentral:rRNA from 1 species